rnacentral:rRNA from 1 species
AACGAACGCUGGCGGCAGGCUUAACACAUGCAAGUCGAGCGCCCAGCAAUGGGAGCGGCGCACGGGUGAGUAACACGUGGGAACAUGCCCUAUGGUUCGGAAUAACGCAGGGAAACCUGCGCUAAUACCGGAUAAGCCCUAACGGGGAAAGAUUUAUCGCCAUUGGAGUGGCCCGCGUUGGAUUAGCUAGUUGGUGGGGUAAAAGCCUACCAAGGCCACGAUCCAUAGCUGGUUUGAGAGAACGACCAGCCACACUGGGACUGAGACACGGCCCAGACUCCUACGGGAGGCAGCAGUGGGGAAUCUUGGACAAUGGGGGAAACCCUGAUCCAGCCAUGCCGCGUGAGUGAUGAAGGCCCUAGGGUUGUAAAACUCUUUCGGCGGGGACGAUAAUGACGGUACCCGCAGAAGAAGCUCCGGCUAACUUCGUGCCAGCCGCCGCAGUAACAC